AUUCCAGCUCCAAUAGCGUAUAUUAAAGUUGUUGCAGUUAAAAAGCUCGUAGUUGAAUUUCUGGUGGGAGUGUACAGUCCGACACUGAGUGUUGGUUCUUGUGUGUCUCCGGCCAUCCUUGGAGUGAAUCUGUCUGGCAUUUAGUUGUUGGGCAGAGUAUCUCCAUCGUUUACUGUGAGGAAAGGAAAGUGUUCAAAGCAGGCUUACGCCGUUGAAUCUUUUAGCAUGGAAUAAUAAGAUAGGAUCUUGAUACUAUUUUGUUGGUUUGUACUCCAAGGUAAUGAUUAACAGGGACAGUUGGGGGUAUUCGUAUUUAAGUGUCAGAGGUGAAAUUCAUGGAUUUCUGAAAGACGAACUACUGCGAAAGCAUUUACCAAGGAUGUUUUCAUCG
rnacentral:rRNA from 1 species